UACAGAGGGUGCGAGCGUUGUCCGGAAUCACUGGGCGUAAAGGGCGCGUAGGUGGCGACCCAAGUCGAUGGUGAAAGCUCGCCGCUCAACGGCGAGUCGGCCACUGAUACUGGGUUGCUGGAGCACUGUAGAGGCAGAUGGAAUUCCUGGUGUAGCGGUGGAAUGCGCAGAUAUCAGGAGGAACACCGGUGGCGAAGGCGGGUCUCUGGGCCGUUACUGACGCUGAGGAGCGAAAGCGUGGGGAGCGAACAGG
rnacentral:rRNA from 1 species